rnacentral:lncRNA from 1 species
CAUGAGGACCUGUGCACGAGGAGCAGAGAGAGGGGUAUAAAAAUUAUACCUGUUAUGUGUUGACCUCGGACUCCGUCGUUGGGGUGAGGCUUGCUUAUUGGAUGGGGGCCUACUUGUCCCCACUCUUCUUCUGCUUUUUCUUCUGACCUUUGUUUUCUGUCUGACGCCGAUCAGAAGCUCCUUCAUCCAUGCGCAUGUAUUUGUACGCGCAUUCUAAGAGUUCAGCAUACGUCCGAGGGAGGGUUUUAUCUAGU